CUUCCUCCCCACUGUGCCAUUCCCCUCUCCCCUCGCCUCCUCCUCUCCCGAGUCCCUGCGCCACCGGCUCCUCCCCUUCUCUUACUCCUUCUCCUCCCCGUUCCUCUCAUCUCCCUGCCUGGGUUACCGCCGUCGCCCCAGGUGAGUUGUUGCUGGGGGCGGGGCGGGGCGGGGCGGGCUGGUGGCCUCGAGUUUGCCAUUGACAAGGAAGCCGUGGGUGGAGGUGAGACGCUGCUGGAGUUCAAGGUGGCUGAACGCCACGACGGAGCAACAGAUCGGCAGCCUGCGGCCCGCUGACCCCAACCCCUGCGGCCCGGACCUCAGGUCCUCCAGUUCAUGUUAAUUACCCGAAGCUUGGCGAGUUGUGGUGGUUAAUAAUUCCAUUUGCUUUGACGACACUAGAUCAUUAGUCACCGGAUGUUAAGCUCGCUCUGUAGUGUUGCUUACAAUAUUUCCUCAAUUUCCAUUGGUGGGAAUUUUGAGUGAGAAUGAUCCACAUGAUUGACAAGAACAGGGAAUGAUUAGCUUCAAGCACAUAGCAAAGAACGUGAAAAUAAUAUAUUUAACGUUGUAUGGAGAAUUGGAGAUGCAAUACUUGAUGCGCUCCUCUGGAUCUGCUGCCCCUCUUUGUUUCUGAUUAUUGUUCCGCUCAUAUACUAUCAAAUUUCCAUGGAUGGGAUCUGAUGAAUGAGUAUCCCGUGUCUGCGGCAACUCGCAUGGCCUGAUCCGGAAGUACGGGUGUGCUGCAGGCAUUGCUUCCACAACUAUGCCAAGGACAUUGGCUUCAUCAAGUACCAUUAAGAAUGGAACCUCAAAGGAAGCAAGGACUAUGAAGUUAUCAUCAAACUGUGGUGUUUCAACGAGGACGAUCUUUAUCAACAAUGAGGGUUGAAUUAGAUCUUCACAGACAAAUACAUCUUUAUGUAAUAAAAAUGCUGAUAUGAUGAUCGGGAGGAGUUGCAGAAGAUAGAUUUCAAAUGGCUUGAAUAAGAAGAGAUGCAGCUCACUAUUCUAGACAGACUUUGAAGGAUGAAGAAUAAAGAACAUUCUAUGAUCAGGUAACAAUUUAAUCCCUCUGAUUACACUUGUCUAUGCUCCUUUGACUGCCAAUGGCUAUUUCUUUUUGUAUGUUCAGGAGAUACAAAGAAUUAAUUGUUUGAAACUUAAGAUAAUUAAGUUUGCAAGAGUCAUCAACCUGUCUAAAAAACUUCAUUGAAUUCUGCACAUAACAAAUUAUUAGGAAGAUUUCUCAAAUCAUGUAAAUGAUUCUAGAUCAGCCAUCUAACUCCAAUACCAUGCACCAAUGCUUGGAACUCAUGCAAGUGUCAUACUCGCAUUACCAAAUCAGGCUACGAAGACAAGUCUUCGUGCGCACAUGGAUUGCGAAAGAGUGGCAUUUAAAAGGCAGCUGGCAUUUGAUGAAUUGCUGAAUGGUGGUGGUUGCACACCAUGGGGGACAGUGUUCCAAGAGAGGUCUCGAAGAUGGUUAGAGAUUAGGCAGUCCAACAUCAAACAUGAUUGUGCUGAUGUCUGGGUUUUGGCUUGGUGGUGAGGUGCUUGAGGUCGCGGCUCUGCGUCAGGAACCUCCUCUUGAGCGGGCUUGUACUUCAUGGUGGUGAGGUCUAUCUUGAUGGUAGACUAGUUGGUUGAUUAAAUGCCAAUAGGAGCAGCUCAGUGAAUCACUGAUGUAGUCUCACUGUGCAUCAGUAUUGUUGACCUCAGCUCGUCUAUACAUAUGAUCCAUGUAUCGUAUUUAGUUUGUCUCUAAGACUUGGCAUGCCUGUGUUCUGAUGAUCCGAGGAACUCUGCCUCUCUUUUGGAGAUCAUCCACCUUUUGGAGACUGUUAAACCUUGAUUUGAAAAUCUGGAUGUGUCUAUGACAGUCAUCCACCUUGUAAGAUUGUCAUCUAUCUGUUACCUAUUAGCAUCGAUCAAACUA